rnacentral:rRNA from 2 species
UCUGAUGGAGCAACGCCGCGUGAGUGAAGAAGGUUUUAGGAUCGUAAAACUCUGUUGUUGGAGAAGAACAGGGACUAGAGUAACUGUUAGUCCUUUGACGGUAUCCAACCAGAAAGCCACGGCUAACUACGUGCCAGCAGCCGCGGUAAUACGUAGGUGGCAAGCGUUGUCCGGAUUUAUUGGGCGUAAAGCGAGCGCAGGCGGUUUUUUAAGUCUGAUGUGAAAGCCUUCGGCUUAACCGAAGAAGUGCAUUAGAAACUGGGAAACUUGAGUGCAGAAGAGGACAGUGGAACUCCAUGUGUAGCGGUGAAAUGCGUAGAUAUAUGGAAGAACACCAGUGGCGAAGGCGGCUGUCUGGUCUGUAACUGACGCUGAGGCUCGAAAGUAUGGGGAGCGAACAGGAUUAGAUACCCUGGUAGUCCAUACCGUAAACGAUGAAUGCUAAGUGUUGGAGGGUUUCCGCCCUUCAGUGCUGCAGCUAACGCAUUAAGCAUUCCGCCUGGGGAGUACGACCGCAAGGUUGAAACUCAAAGGAAUUGACGGGGGCCCGCACAAGCGGUGGAGCAUGUGGUUUAAUUCGAAGCAACGCGAAGAACCUUACCAGGUCUUGACAUCCUUUGACCACUGUAGAGAUACAGCUUUCCCUUCGGGGACAAAGUGACAGGUGGUGCAUGGUUGUCGUCAGCUCGUGUCGUGAGAUGUUGGGUUAAGUCCCGCAACGAGCGCAACCCUUAUGACUAGUUGCCAGCAUUUAGUUGGGCACUCUAGUAAGACUGCCGGUGACAAACCGGAGGAAGGUGGGGAUGACGUCAAAUCAGCAUGCCCCUUAUGACCUGGGCUACACACGUGCUACAAUGGUCGGUACAACGAGUUGCGAACCCGCGAGGGUAAGCUAAUCUCUUAAAGCCGAUCUCAGUUCGGAUUGUAGGCUGCAACUCGCCUACAUGAAGCCGGAA